AUGGUCCUGAUUUUCCUGGCAGCCAUGCUGCAACUGGCAGGCUUUGGUCACGCCCAAAAGGAUGCUGUGCUCCAGUUCCCAGCAGAAAUGACCACCCAGGUGGGACACAACGCAACUCUGCACUGCAAUUUCACCACCAGCUAUUCCAAUCACUACAUCUACUGGUACCAGCAGCGCCAGGGCCAGUCCCCUCAGAUGCUGCUGUGGGUGUACAAACAGAAACCUCAGGUGGAUUCAGAGAGGUUCUUCUCUGCACUGUCUGUGGAGACCUCCCAGGUGCUUCUGCGUGUGCAUGAUGCCGAGCUCCAGGACAGCGCUGCCUAUUUGUGUACACUGAACCCACACUG